ACGACUCUCGGCAACGGAUAUCUCGGCUCACGCAUCGAUGAAGAACGCAGCRAAAUGCGAUACUUGGUGUGAAUUGCAGAAUCCCGUGAACCAUCGAGUUUUUGAACGCAAGUUGCGCCCGAAGCCAUUCGGUUGAGGGCACGUCUGCCUGGGCGUCACG
rnacentral:rRNA from 1 species